GCACAUGUGGGCAUCAUCUAUUUUCCUCUCCAUAAAAAGAGACAAGCCUUUGAUUCUAAAGGCUUUCUUUGCAUCACUCCCUCAGUCCGUGGUGCCUAAUACAUUAUUUUAUGGUGCUGGUGUUUUAAUUUUCAGCCUACAACAUGCUUUGUGCCUUGCGAGGGUGGAAUCCAUGAUUUACUGCAGUGGCCAUGUGGAAUUCUGGAGACUUAACCUGCGAAUGUCAAUACAAGAGGGAUAUUUGACCUUGGGAGCUAACCUAAGCCUGAACAGAUGGACCUAUAAACACGUCUAAGUACCAAUCAGAUGUAGCUCUCAGCCACUUCUCCAAUGCUCUGAGUGCAGCCAUGCUCUCCCCUCCACGAUGAUAAUGUGUGAAACCUCUGAAACUGAGGAGGUAUCAGCCAGGAUAAAUCCAAUUCUGACCAAGAAAUGGACACAGCGCAGUUGUACAGUAAAAAUUUGUUUCUUGCUCAUGCAAAGACCCAGUGGGUCUGAGAGACUUCUCUCAGUAGUGAGAUUCCUUGAAGUGACUGGUCAACCUGAGAUCUUUUCAUCUUGGGGCUCAGAAAUCUCAGCCAAGAUCUCCUCCUUGGUUGCUGCAAUGGAACAGGGGGAUUGUAAGGGUCAUUUUAACUCUUCAUCUUUGAAAAGUGAGGCCCGUUAAUUCCGAUCACAUUUCACUGGUCAACACCAGCCACAUGGUCCCAAGUGCAUUGGGAAAUGAAAUAUUGUAUGUGUCUUGGGAGGAGUGAAAACCUUGAAACAAAUGUAAGCUAGCUAUUUCUAUUAUUCUCUGAAAUUGAUUCUUUAUGAAUGAAUGAUUUAUCUCAGAGCUCAAGAUUAUUUCAACAAAGAAACUUGACACAUGUAAAUAAAAACUGUUAAAUUUGGAUUACUGGACAACUGGGAAAUCAUUGGCAUCUCAGAGAUGACUUGAGCAUGGGUCUACAUAAAGAAUGUAUUUAGAGUAGACACAUGAUAGCCAUGUGUAUUGUCAAAAUGUCAUCUUUUGUUCUUCUACUUUCUUUAGAAAAUUGGUUCCCUGCCACUUUCUCUAAUCCCACCACUUUGGAAUGGCCUCCAAAAAAAAGUAUCAGGGUUUGAUCAGUUCACAGUUUGCUAUAGUGAUGUGUAAUCUUGCUCUAAGUACUGACUGGUUCACAAACAUGGUCAAUCGAAGUUUGAGUAUGAAACCUGAAAAAUUAUUGGUACUGAUGAAUUUCUUUCAAGUUACAGAUAGAUAAUUUUAUGUGGUCUAUUCUUAGAGUUAACAUUAGACAUAAAACCAAGAAAACAAGAGUAUGGACACAUAUACUGUUACCUAUUUGCUUUGGUGAUGCCCUGAUUUAGGUCUGCUAAUGGGAACUCUGAGCUCAUUUUAACUAAAGAAUUCAAUGCAUAGGAUUUUGUGUUGUAAGCAUCAUUAUUUCUCAGCUCUAUUCAACCAUGGCCAAAUGGCUCACAACAUGACCAACAGUUAAUUUUAAAGAAAAAAUUUAACAAGUUAAUUAUCUGCAGUCCUUAGAGCAUAUGGUUCCUUCUGAGGUCAGUGACUCGUUACACAUUUCUUAAUGGUGUAAAGCAUGGUGAUGAAUAAUGUGUGCACUGCAUGUUUUAUUUUGUUCAUUGUUGGCAAUUGAAUGCAAGGCCUCACACGUUCAUUAUUAUUUUUCCUCUGUUUUAUUGAAGCAAAAUCGACAAAUAGAAUUUAUACAAUCAAGCACACAAUGUGACAUAUACACUCUGAAAUGAUUACUACAAUCACGUUGAUUAACACCCAUCACCUCAUAGUUACAUUUUUCUGACUCACUUUUUUAAAAGCAAAUUUUAAGUAUGAAGUAGAAUAUUAUUAAUUAUAGCCAUCACAUUAAAUAUCAUAUUCCCUGAAUUUAUUCAUCUUAUAACCGGGAGAGAGGUACAACUAAUAUCUCUCCAUUCCCCAACUCCAUAUUCCCUGACAACUACUGUUCUAUUUUCUGAUUAUGAGUUCAUAUUUAUUUAAAUUUGGGAUUUAUUUAUUUUUAUUUUCUGUCUAUGGUUCAUUUUGUCUCAAUGAAUGUCUGUGUAACCACAUGUAUACAGUACCUACAGAGGUCAAAAGAGGGGCUUGAAUUCUCUGGGAACUGGAGUCACAGAUGGAGUCCCACCAUGUGGCUGCUGAGAACUGAACCUGUGUCUUCUGAAGAACAGCCAGUGCUCUUAAGCACGGAGCCAUCUCUUCAGCCCCAAGUUCAGCUUUUAAUGACAUUUUUGGUCCGAUCUUAUUGUCAUUGGGAUGAAAUAUCUGAGAAACACAACUUGAGGGAGGGAGUAUUUAAUUUCCAAAACAGGUUCCAAGGUUUCAGUCCAUCAUGACAACGAGCACAUGGCAGAGAGAAGCCUGUCACAUCCUGGUAGACUGGAAGCAGAGAAAGCACACAGGAAUGAGGUGGGCAGGACAUAGGCCCCAAUGACAAUCCCUAGUGAUGCGCUUCCUCCAGGUAGGCCUUACUCAUGACAUGUUAGUGAGUGUUCUCCUCCUACAAAACAAACUAAUAGAAUGAAUACAAACUAGGAAGGGGAUUUAUUGGAGUGGCUUCCACAGUUCAGGUUGGGUAGUCCAGUAAUGGCCACCUACUCGCUGUUUCAUCCUUGAGACUAGAUGCCCCAGUUGUCCUGAUCUGGAGAUGAAGACCUGGGGAUUCCUGGAGAACCAUAGGUCUUUAAUCCCUGGGGGGAAGGCUGUAGAAGCUGAGUUCUGGUACCGAUGAAGGAUCGCAGCCUUAGGGUAGAUGUCCUUACUAGCAGGCAGCGAAGGCAGGCAUGCAAAAGCAACAGCUUUAUGUCUGGUGCCACAUACCCUGGGGAUGGGCCUCCCCCCCCCCCCCCGCCCCGCUCCGUUGAUCCCUCCAAGAAAUACUCUCAUAGCCCAGAGGCAUGUCCCAUAGUUGAUUCCAGAUCCAAUCACAUCCCUGAUCAACAGUCACAACCUCCUUUCCACAAUCUUUUAAGAAUGUCACUAUAUUAUGAGUCCAUCAAGGAAUUACUCCACUGAUGAGGUCUAAUUGUUCCCCCCAAGCCCAACUUUGGCCAGGUGACUGGCCCCAGCAUCCUCCUCUCCUCUUUUUCUUGCUCCCCCUUUUCUCUUUGUCUCCUUCUAUCUCUUCUCUCUGUCAUCCAGCCAGGUCUCUUUCUCUCUCCUGCCUCGCUGUCAGCUGUUCAGCUCUCUAUUAGAGCAAUCAGGUGUUUUAGUCAGACAAAGUAGCAAAGCUUCACAGAGUUAAACAAAUGCAACAUAAAAAAAAAAAAAUGCUCUGCUGGGAAGGAACUUGGAACCUAAGCUCUUCCCCACAGCCAUCUUGCUGUUACCAUCUUGGUGUAGUUCCAGCACCCUCUAAACUCUGGCACUAAAGCUUCCACACUUCACUAAUUCCUGGUUUUAGAACUCAUAACUUUCCUAAGAAAAAAAGAAGGGCAGGUUUAAAAAAAAAAAAACAACAGAAGAACCUCACAUUUCAUAAGACCCCCGAUGAAUUGGAUAUGUGAGAACGUAAACAUUCCUAACCGUGAAUUUACUAAACUGGCCCCGUGAUAGACUCCUUCAGUGCAGGGAUUUUUGCUUGUUUUACUUUGCAGCAGCCUUGUUCAUAUUCCAGGUGUAGCUAGCAAACCCAUUUUGAAAUAAGAGCCUUACUUGAUUCUGACAGAAUAGAUGUUUCCUGUCUAUCCUUUGUGACGGGACCUCUUACAAGAGGACCUCUUACAUAACAUAUGUUAUGUGUUUGUUGUAUUAAAUAAAGAAGACUGUAAAUAUUAAAAAAAAUGCUAUGCAUCUUCGCAUCAUUAAACAAAUACUCCACAGCAUUAGCAAAUGCAACACAUCUUCAACUAAUAUUCCACAAGACCCAACUGCUGAUAAUCAAACUCCCAAUGAAUGAGCCUAUGGUUGACAUUAAAUAUUAAAAGUGUAACAACAUCUAAGUGACACGUAACACUAUUUUUGUUCUGUGUCUGGCUUAUAUUGCUUACUAUAAUGCCCUCUGGUUUAAUAUAUUAUGUUAUAAUGACAGGAUUUCCUUAUUUUUUUUUUUGUGAAUAAGUAGUGUUUCAUUAUAUGCAACAUUGUGUCUAUAUGGCUUUUCUAUUCAUUUGUUAAUGGUACAUAGUUUACUGCCAUAUCUUGGCUGUUGUGACUAAUACUAUAAUGAGCAGAGGGGUGUGAAUAUCCAUUUUCAACAUUGGCCUCACCUAGACAUGGUUAGAACAUAGGGGAGAUAUGUUUUAAUUAAAACACUUAUUUUUAUGAGUGUUUGCCUGUCUGUAUGUAUGUGCAUGAGGUACAUGCUAUGCCGAAGGAGGCCAGAAGAUGGCAGUAGAUCCCCUGGAACUGGAGUUACAGAUGCUUGUGAGCCACCAUGUAGAUGCUGGGACGUGAACCUGGGUCCUCUGCAAGAACAGCAAGUGCUCUUAACUACCGAGCCAUCUCUCCAGCCCUGUAUUUUUAUUUUUAUUUUUGAGGAGUCUCCAUACUAUUUUUGUUUUUUAAAUUUAUUUUAAUUAACUAAUUAAUAAUUUUUCCCCAGCUCCAUCACAAUUUACCCUCCCUCCCUCCUCUCCUCCUAGUCCCUCCCUUAACCCCCCUUCCCCCAUCCACUCCUUCUCCUUUCUCUUCAGAAAAAGACAGACCUCCCAUGUCUAUCAACCAGCCAGGGUCUAUCAAGUUGCAACAUUGGUGGUCCAGUGAGUAAGAAGAACAGCUUGUAUCUUGGAGGGAAGCCAAAUCAAAAUCCACACAGAACAAGCCAGCACUUGGCUUGGCAGUGGAGCGCUCUCUUCACAGUUGUGGGUCUGUCUCCGAUUCUUUUUGGGUCCUUUCACCUCAGGAGAGGAAAGCAUUUGGGAAUUUGGACGGUACCACCUCUGAAGCAGCCAGAGAUUUCCCAGAAGCAGCCAGUCUUCAUGGCUUCAUUACUAUAAGUUCAUCACCUGAGACCUUGAAAGUGUGUACUCUAUCUGUGGAGAAAGAGCCGCAUCUAAAGGCCCAAGAUUCUUAUACUUAAAGGUUCAGAAGUUCGGGCUAGGGAGAGAAAAGAACAUAUCUGCAAGCUUUCCUGAGGAGAGAACAUUUAAACUGAGUCUCAGAAGAAGGGCAGGAUCUUGAGUGGAGAAUCAGAAAUCUGUAAGUAAUAAACCCAGUGAUUGCUUCGGAGCUUGCUGGCCCUGUAAGGAGAGCAGCUGCUCACAGUAGAUUUCUAUGUUGCAGAUCAAGGAAUUAAAAGAAAUGUUACACAGUGUCACCACUGUGUGAGCUACUUUUAUCUAGCCACAUACAUCUUGCUGCUAAAGUCUUGAUUAUCACAUCAAGCCCACAGAAGUGAGACAUAAUUAGGAAAUAGAUCCAUUGCAACAUCGCCAAUGUACAUUAAAUAGGAUAAUCACUUGUUCAAUGAGGAAAGAGAUUCAGAAGGUUAAUUAAUCUUGGAUUCUGACUAUGACAAGUAAUGCGUGUAAAGCAGUCAUCUCUGAGACCACUCACACACACAUUCACUUACUAAUAAGCGUCAUCACAGCAUAACAUCCUGCAUAAAACCAUAAAGUGCUUAGUUCUGAAGCAGAGAUGCCCACAGCCCAUGAUAGAUGGAGAGCAGAGACAUAGCAACAACAGAAUGCCAUCCCUAUACACUCACUAAAUCACUGGGUGUGUGCCUCAGAAUGUGACACACAUGGACUUGAUCUUACAAUUACACCUCGACCCAGUUUUUCAUUAUCUCCCUAUUUUUCAGAUGAGAAAUUGAGGCACGGGGAAGUUCAAUAGUUUGCUCUGAGCUUUGUAAGUAAAACACAAGGAAGCACAGAUAGGAAGUCAAAUUAAUCGUGGGAAAGAACAUAGCACAGAAUAGGCUCCCAGUUCUAUGGCUAACCAGAGCUGGACCCUUGGGGAAAUCAUUUUGUCCCUACGUCUCAGCUUUUCAUAGUUACUAUGACCAACUAAGGAGCUGUGUGUAUAAGAUGCUUAGUCUGGGGCCCGGGAAAGGUAAAUGAUCAAUAGUUAAAGGCUUAGCAAGGCUAAGUCAUUAGUUGUCAACACUAUCUGGUAUCUGGUACUUAACCAAACACAUCAAAUGGAAGACUAAAAGCUAUUUAUGACGUGGCAUUACAUUUUCCCAUUCUUCUACCCAUUUACCCCAAUCCCUUGAGGUCUGUCUCUGUGAGUUGUCAAGGAUGAGCUGCUUUGUACGGCCAUCUGCCACUGUGCUGUGUGACAACAAGCCACAUCUUCCUGAAAAUGUUUACAAAUGCUUCUUACAUUACUGCAGUAUAUUUUUUCAUUAAGCCGUGGCAUCUCCAUUGAAAAAUUAUUUUAAUCUUCUCAAACUGAAUUAUACAAGGAGGAAGCAUGGACAGAUAGUACUUAAAGGCUCAAUGUACAUUAAUUGCCUCAGCUAAUGAAAGAAACAUGACUUAGCCAAUGCACACAACAUGAAUCCUAAGAUGCACGGACAAUUGAGUGUGGUAAUAAAACAAGUAUUAGAGUGUUAAAUCCCAAACCCUCAUUAUGCCUCAUGCAGCAAAACCAACCAUGUACCUGCUGUUCUGAAAGCAUUUCCUCCUCUUGACACUGAGAGUUAAUUAUAGAGCCAGGCUUUGAGUAAUCUCAUGUGAUGUGUGAUUGGGGACCUUCAAAAACCCUGCAAAAUUAUAUCAGGUAACUCCUCUAUUUUUUAAGCUGAUAAAAGUACAUUGGUCAAACUGAUUUUUAGUUUGCCUUGAUGUUCCAUAGGCAAUUUUAAUUAAGACAUGAAUUAUUUAUAUAUACACACACUUUAUUUCACUUCCAUGAGAUCUUGCUUUGUCUCCCUUGGCUCUGUAAACUGGUGAAUUAUUAACUCAAGGCUAAUUUGUAUCCCUGUGCUUAAGAGGCUACGCAUCGAUUUCUUUUGUCUUUUCACUUCAUGAACCCUGAAGUAAAGAUGAUAAAGUCAUGAUGUUUAAGAGAUACGAAGGGGAGUCUUGCUCUCACUGCUCAGUGAGAAUCUCAGAACACACAGAUGAGAGUUAAGGAGAGAAGAGACAUGGGGACCCACAGCCUUCCCUUCAGAAAUCACAAGCAGGUCCCUAUCAGUGGUAGGGCCACACAAUGAGUGUGAUGCAUUGUAAGCCCCACCCUCACCCCCUUGUAGAUGCUCCAAGGGCAUGAGUGACAACAAGAGAAUAAAUAAUUGUCUCUAACAGUGGGCUUAUUCAAAAGUAAUUGCCUUUCUAGAUUAAAAAAAAUUCUAUAUUUUCUGGAAGACAGACGUGGGAAGCUAAUUGUUGACUCUGUAUGCCAGUGCACAAGUGUGUGUGUGUUCUCAUAUGUGUGCACCUGCACAUGGAGACCAACUGGAAACCUUGUCUGUCAUCCUUAGCUACCAUCCACCUUGUUUUGAGACAGGGUCUCUCAAUGACCUAGAGUUCAGAAGUAGGCUAAGCUGGCUGGGCUGCAGGAAUCUGCCUGUCUCUGCUUCCCCAGCACUGGGAUCACAAUCACUCACCAUUUUCUUCUUAAAGUGGCUUCUAGGUGAUUAGACACAGACCCUCGUGCUUGUAAGGAAGACGAGGAUGGAUCACCCAGCUGAUUGUGCAAGCCCACCAUGCCUCAGGCUGUCUGUGGAGAGAGCAAAAACACCCCUCUCCUCCAGCAAUAAGGUCGCAUGAUCUAUGACUUCAUUUUCAGUGGAGGCUAAGGAGAGGCAGGGCUUCCUCUAGGCACUUUAGAAUGGUUAGAUUAUGCAUCAUCCAGAUUCCAGGCUUCAAGAGAGCCGGGUCAUCGGGUAAAGCGACAAUCGGGACCUUUUCCUGACUGUGGCUUCAGAUGACAAGCUGGACCCAGGAGAUGUUGGGGGUCUGCAGGCUGAGUCGGGGAGUAGAAGCAGUGAAGAAACAUGAGCCUGGCGCCCUUCAUGUCACAGGCUGUAUCACUCAGGUGCACACACAUUUACUCCUACACAUCACAUGCACACACACACAUGUGUGCACGUGUAAACACAACAUACAUGUACUCACAUGCACGCACAUAAAUAAGCAGCUACAAAUAUACACAUGUACAAGUGCACACAUGUACACAUUUCAUGCCCACGCUCCAUGCUGUUUCUAUACAUUUGUACAUAUAGGAUGAUACGUGUUUAAAACAUUAUUUGUAUUGUUGGCACCCUAAUUAUAAAUCAUUGACACUCUCCCAACAUUACUUAGAUUCUGAAUUAAGUGUGAAUCUUCAGCCAACUGUGAGCUUGCCACCUAAUAAAUAUUGCUGGUUUGAAAAUAAUGUAA